rnacentral:lncRNA from 1 species
AAAAAAAAAAAAAAAAAAUCCAAUCCUAAUAUCUACUUAUCUCUACAGUGAGGAUUGGAGGAUGUACUUAGCUCACAGGCAUACAAAAACCAACAUUUCACAUAUAAAAAUCCAUCAAACCUAUUCUAUUUUUCCUAUCUCAGGAAAUGAUACCAACAGCCACCCAGCUGCCCACACUAGAAACUGAAGAGUCCUGCUACAUACCCUUUUCUCUCUUCUCCCUAUAUACAAAGCCUCCUAAACCUCUUUAAUCUUACUUUCCAACUUUCUCCAUCCUUGCUUACUCUGCUUUAGCCAUAUAGGCAUUGAAUUUUCUGGUCCUUUCUGCGUAGGACAUUAACAUAUGCUCUUCCCUUUCUUUUUGGCCUAGCUAAUUCCUAAGUCUCGGUUUAACUGUCCCUCCUUACAAAGGCUUUACUUCAGUCUCAGUGUUAGGUCCCUACAGUGUAUGCUUUCACAGCAUCCUAUAUUUUUCUGCUAUAUUACUUAUCACAGUUGUCAUCUGUAUGAUUAUUACACUUAGUCUGUGUUUCUCACACUAGACUACUCCAUCAGGGUAGGAACUGUGGCUCUUUUGUUCACCCCUAUAUGCUCAGUAUCUUGAACAAUACAUGACACACAGUAGGGGCUAAAUACUUAUCUGGUAAUAGUUACAUACUAAUACUUAAUAAAUAAAUACAAUCUCUUUUUAUACUUCAUUUCACCAUCAUUUUAAUUCUUUGGUUCAAGUACUUUUUAUUUCUUGCCUAGAUACUACAAUAGCUUCUGCAGGCAUUUCUGUCACCAGUCUCAUACUUUCUAAUCUGUUCUCCAAUACCCUUGUUAAAGUGAAUUUCUAAAAUAUAAACCUGAUUAUAUUACUCAUUGGUUUAAGAUUUUUCAAUUGCAUCAAUAUAAAAGUGACAUGCAAGGCCUUUCAUGGUUUAACUUCUAUCCACCUGAUCAGGCUAGCCUUUCCCAAUUCCUCUAAAGGCACCUAGGCAACAAAUAACACAAACUACCUGAAUAUUCUCCACCAUGCCAGGUUCUUUCUGCCUUCUCUGUUUUCUUAUACUCCAGUGAUUCUGCUUUUAAGUGUUUUCUAUGGCCUAGUUCUAAUCUCUUUUUCACAAUGAGAUAACUCCUUUUAAGUCUUUACCAAGGUAUCCUUCAAGACACAGCUCAACUAUCAUCUCCUCCUAAAAAGCUUUCCUCGAGAUCCCACUAUGGCGCAAGGGGAUCAGUGGUGUCUCUGCAGCACCAAGACACAGGUUCCAUCCCCAGCCUGGCAGAGUGGGUUAAAGGACCCAAGGAUCCUGUGCUGCUGCAGCUGCAGCAAAGGUCACAACUGUGAGUUCCCUGAUGGCUCAGCAGGUUAAGGAUCUGGAGUUUUUCACUGCUGUAGCUUGAAUCACCACUUUGGUGCAAUUCUAUCCCUGGCCUGAGAAUUUCCACAUGUCUUGGGCAUGGCCAAAAAAAAAGAAUUUAUCUUUCUUCCAUUAGACUUUCACCCCCUUGCUAAUGGGGACUACAUAUGUCUUAUCUCUAUAUAUUCAAUUCUUGUAUAGACUUAAGUAAAUAUUUGAUUAAUCUGUGUGCUAGUACAUAUCAAACCACCAAAACAUACCUACCUUUUUGGGAACUAGUAUUCCUACUUCUGAGAAAUCAUCUAAUAAAUAAACAAAUAAGAAAGUCAAUUAGGAAAGUAUAAAAAUGUUCACUUCUGAAUUACUUAUAAUAACAAAAAAUUAGAGACAACUUAAGUGUCCAGCAAUACAAGAAUGGUAGAAUCUGCUAAAUGAUAUGUAGCAGAGAAAUUUAGAAUGAGAUUGUAAAAAUGAUAUAGUAACUCAGAUGCUUCUUACAUGUUAAGUGGAAAAAAUUUCAGACUAUGAGCCUAUAAAAUUAUAUGUAUAGACAUUUACUAAAAGGGAACAUGAAAACUCUCUGAGUUGUUAGAUUGGAUUGUGAUUUCACUGACUUUAUUCAGAACUUUAUAAAUACUACUAUGACAUCUUCUCAAUUAUAAUCAUAAUAAAAAUACCAUAACUUAAAAUGAAACCCGUUAUUAACAUAUAUGUAUAUAUCAGUAUAUGCAUAUUCGUAUGUGCAUAUAUAUGUACCUAUUUCCUAGCUCUGUCUUCUGAAAGGUCCAAGAAGCAGAAGCACCUCAGCAGCAAUGAGCUGCUAGCCUUCAUCUCCAAUCCAUUUUCCACUAAGAGAAAACAGGGCUCUUUAGAGAAAGGCUAAUUCCAGGGCUAGGGUAGGGUAAGGACAAGCUAAACUUGGGACAUCUUACUAUACCAAAAAGCAAGGAAGUACUCCCUCAGAAUAAUAUAGGCAUACUACAAAGAUAUAGGACCCACCAGGGGACAAUUCAAACACCAAAAUAAUUAAGUACAGACAAAUAUUUAGAGGUUAAAAGUCAUGAUGUGUGUAGCCUACCAUCAAAUGGUUCAGAAAAAAAGUAUAAUAUACACAUAUAAAUAGAAGGAACACAAGAAAACAAAGUAAAUAUAGAAAUGGGGAAACAGGAAUUCGUAAGUUAAUGGAGAUAAUAAGUAGAUAAAUAUAGGAGAAGAAAGGGCUCUUUGCAGUAGAAUGCUGUGGGCUGACCAGUAAAUGUGAAAGGAGUGUUAGAUUUGUUGAAUCAUUUUGCAACCAUCAUGGUAAAAUUACCUCAGCAAUAAUGGAUGCCAAAUUUAAAUAGGAACUUUGAUGAAGAGCAGGAUAUAUCUUCAAAUGUUUCCUCCCAAAUUGCUUAUUUGCCAGGAAGGAAAAAAAGCCAGUUGGGAAAUAUGGUCAUAUAUGGACCAGAUGAUCAAAAUUAACAUCAUCAACAAGGGACAUACAGAUAUCACGUGCUUCCAGAAGUGGUAUCUUGAGAAGGACACAAAUCACCUGUCCAGCAGUCCAGUUAAGAAUUAAAACCUUAAUUUAAUCAUGAGGACACAUCAGACAAAAACAAAAUAGGGAAUGUUCUAUCAAAAAGUAGGGUGGAGGGAGUUUGCAGGUGGCUCAGUGGAUUAAGGAUAUGGUAUUGUCACUGCUGUGGCACAGGUUCCAUACCUGGCGAGGGAACUUCCAUGCCAUGGGCAUGGCCAAAAAAAAGGUGGUGGAGGGAUAAACUAUAUUCUUCAAGAAUGUAAAAGAAGCUAAAGUCAAGACCCACUAAACGUAGGGCCUGACUCCAGAUGGCCCCUGUACUGCAGGGGAAAUGCUACAACAAUGACCAACCUACAAAAUGGGAAUAUUGAUGGUAGAUUCAAGUGUUAUUUCAAUGUAAAAUUAUGAAGCUGAUAGGAAAUACACACUGAAGUAUUUAGGGGUGAAGGGCCAGGAUGUAUUUAAUUUAACCUCAAGUGGUUUAAGAAAAAAAUUGCAUAUAAAGAAAUAUGUAUGGAGAGAGACAGAGACAUUGCACAAGAGCAACUAAAUGAUACAGGUAUUCUCUGAACUUUUUAUUUUUGCAACUUUUUGUAAAUUUGAAAUUAUGUCCAAGUAAAAGUGUUUUUUAAAAUUAAGUCCACCUCAGAAAAACAAGACCAGUAGGAAAAUAAAAGCUACUUUAGGAGUUCCCUUUGUGGCACAGUAACAAACCUGACUAGUAUCCGUGAGAAUGUUGGUUUGAUCCCUGGCCUCGCUCAGUGGGUCAAGGAUCCAGCAUUGUCAUGAGCUGUGGUAUAGGUCACAGACU